GGUAAGUUUGCUUGGGUGAGUGGUAGCUUCUGGAGAGACAAGAGGCAGAGAAACAAGCCUGAAGAUUGGGUAACCUGUGCCUGAUUCUGAGGAAGAGGAGGGAUCAUCUUACAGGGGGGAGAUGAAGUCAGCCAUAUUUGCAAGGAUAAAUCAGGUGACAUUUAGAAGAUCAGCAAGGAGACAACCUCCCAUCUUAUUCUCUCUGGCUCAGUGUUUAGGACAUUCACCUGGGAUGAGAAACAAAGAGAACCCCCAGCUCCUGUUACUUUAAGGGCAAAGUUGCAGCAGGGAGAGCCUCAGAAGAGGAAAGAUGCCCAUUAUGAGCUGCCAGGGAACAAGUACCUGGGGACUGACCUGCUAUGAGCUAUCAUUAUAGCAGACACCAGCAGCACAGCCAAGUGGAAUGUGGGUGAAACCUGGCCCCGUUAAAGACAAUGGAAAAAUCCUUUUAACACAAUCCCCGUCCCAGACCUGGCCACAUAACCUAUUACAGCACCAGAAUGUGAAGAAGAAAAAAAAAACAAGACAGAAAUGAAAGAAAAGGGGAGAAAAAAUUGGAGGAGAAAAGGAUGCAGGAGAGAAAAAAAAGAAGAGAAAAAAAUUCCAAAAAUUGCCUGAACAUUUUUUAAAACAGUAAAAUUUUCCUAGUUUUUCAAGUAAAAUGUUGAACAAAAACAAAACAAAACAGGUGUUCUUUUGCAAAAACUGAAGAACAACAUUUCUAUUAAAUUAGUUUACAUACA